GACGAACGCUGGCGGCGUGCUUAAUACAUGCAAGUCGAACGGACAGGCCCUGCUCUUGUGGGUUGCUCGAGUGGCGAACGGGUGAGUAACACGUGAGUAACCUGCCCUUGUCUUUGUGAUAACUUCAGGAAACUGGGGCUCUUACCGGAUAGGAGCUCCUGCUGCAUGGUGGGGGUUGGAAAGUUUCGGCGGUUGGGGAUAUACUCGCGGCUUAUCAGCUUGUUGGUGUGGUAGUGGCUUACCAAGCCUUUGACGGAUAGGCGGCCUGAGAGGGUGACCGGCCACAAUGGGACUGAGAUACGGACCAGAAUCCAACGGGAGGCAGCAGUGGGGAAUAUUGCACAAUGGGCGGAAGCGUGAUGCAACGACGCCGCGUGCGGGAUGACGGCCUACGGGUUGUAAACAGAUGUGGAAUGUGACGAAGAGUGAGUGACGGUAAUGGGUAAAGAAGCACCGGCUAACUACGUG
rnacentral:rRNA from 1 species